AACGAACGCUGGCGGCGUGCCUAACACAUGCAAGUCGAGCGGGAAAGCCCGCAAGGGUGAGUACAGCGGCGCACGGGUGCGUAACACGUGGGUAAUCUGCCCAGAAGCCCGGAAUAACCUCCCGAAAGGGAAGCUAAUACCGGAUAAGACCACGGGAACCUCGGUUCCUGCGGGAAAAGGUGGCCUCUGCAUGCAAGCUAUCACUUCUGGAUGAGCCCGCGGCCCAUCAGCUCGUUGGCGGGGUAAUGGCCCACCAAGGCUACGACGGGUAGCUGGUCGGAGAGGACGAUCAGCCACACUGGAACUGAAACACGGUCCAGACUCCUACGGGAGGCAGCAGUGGGGAAUCUUGCGCAAUGGGCGAAAGCCUGACGAAGCAACGCCGCGUGUGUGAUGAAGGUCUUCGGAUCGUAAAGCACUGUCGGGAGGGACGAAUAAGGGCCGGGUGAAUAAUUCGGUUCGAUGACGGUACCUCCAAAGGAAGCACCGGCUAACUCUGUGCCAGCCGCCGCCGUAAGAC
rnacentral:rRNA from 1 species